rnacentral:rRNA from 1 species
UACGGAGGGUGCAAACGUUGCUCGGAUUCACUGGGCGUAAAGGGUGCGUAGGUGGUGAGGUAAGUCGGAUGUGAAAGCUCGGAGCUCAACUCCGAAAUGGCAUUGGAAACUACCUUGCUCGAGGGUUGGAGGGGGGACUGGAAUACUUGGUGUAGCAGUGAAAUGCGUAGAUAUCAAGUGGAACACCAGUGGCGAAGGCGAGUCCCUGGACAACUCCUGACACUGAGGCACGAAAGCUAGGGGAGCAAACAGG